UACAGAGGGUGCAAGCGUUGUUCGGAAUCAUUGGGCGUAAAGCGCGUGUAGGCGGCCAUCUAAGUCUGGUGUGAAAGCCCAGGGCUUAACCCUGGAAGUGCACUGGAUACUGGGUGGCUAGAGGACGAGAGAGGACAAUGGAAUUCAUGGUGUAGGGGUGAAAUCCGUAGAUAUCAUGAGGAACAUCUGUGGCGAAGGCGAUUGUCUGGCUCGUUUCUGACGCUGAGACGCGAAAGCGUGGGGAGCAAACAGG
rnacentral:rRNA from 1 species